CUCUCCUGGUUCAAAGGAAACAGUGUAUUGUCCAUCAUCAGAGUGUCUGAUCUCAGCAGCCGGUCUGAUCUUCUUCUCCAUCUGGAGUGUGUGGAUGAUUCCUACAGCUGUGUGCUGAACAAUCCCAUCAGAAACCAGACUCAACACCUCAACAACACUCAGCUCUGUCACACAUGUGCAGAAGACCGUAUCCACUGUUGUGGCUUCACUGAAGCUGUGAUCCGAUUGGCUCUCUCUGCUGUGGUGGGCGUGGCUACUGUGGCUGUUCUGGUUUAUGAGAUCAGAUGCGGAAGUCUUCAACAGAAGAAAAGUGUGCAGGAGUAAACAUCGAACUCUUCUUGCAUAACUGGAGGCAUUAUAUAUAUAAAACAUUGUUUUUAUUCAUUUCAAUGGUAUUUGCAGCACUUUCACAAUACAAAUCAUUCUAUCGUUCGGCUAUUGUUUAUAUCUGCUGACAGAUGUUUGGGGAAAUAACAUACAGCAGUUUUUGAACCAUUUUAUGUUUUAUUAAUUCAUUAAAAAUUAUUGCUGCCCCCAGUUCAUCACAAACAUUUGUUGUAAGCCAAUUGUUGGCCACAUUUGUUGGCGUUCCAAUCACUUGAUUUGAUUUUUGUGCUAUUUAGCCUGUAAUGUCAAUCCUUUUGAGAAUAAAUCCGAGUCACAUGAUCAGGAGCAUAUUAAAAUGUAGAUUUAACCCUAAUCAAGCACCUGAUCAAUGCUAAUCAAUGUCAACUGUGCCAUGAAAAGGUUCAUUACUCGAAGCUUUUAAAAACGGUGCACGCUAACGACAUCUUCUGGUCAAAAGGUGGAAAAAGCUGCCUUUGCAUCCCGGACGACAGACAUUUUUGGACUGUUUCAUGUAAUAAAAAGUUUGUGCUUUGAAAAGUGUAUAAAACAAUAAAAAUGUAGUCAUAUGAUCAAAAAUAAAUGAAGAUUAUCACUGAAUGGUCGGUUGAAGCACUUCAAAUAAAUACAAACAACAUGCACAAAACUACUCGUGUAAAUAUUUAUUCGUAUUAUGAUUUAUUCUUAUCAAACAGCGAAUGACACAGAUCAAAGAUGCGAAGAAAAAAGGCAAAAGAGAAAAGGAGGAAGAAGAAGAGCGAAGCUUGCUUUGGACCGGAUAAGAUCGGCUUGAAAGGAAAAGAGAUGAUCGGAUCGUUUAGACAAUAGACUGAACUCAUAAAAGAACAUCUGCUCAACAGUCUCAGAGUAACUUGCUUCCAGCGAGCCUUAAGGGCAUUCGAACCUGGAGUUUGACCGGACUGUGAAACAUCUGACCAACGGACAGCGCUCUCAAUCUGAAGGAGUGUUUGGUGCUGAAACAGAUGAAGUGAAGACAGUGAUGGAGGGAGAUUCAGUCACUCUAAACCCUGAUCUUACUCAAAUACAGGGAAUUAAUAUGAUCCUGUGGAGGUUUGGAGACACGGGCUUCACCAUUGCUCAAGUCGAGGAGAAUGAGAUCUCGUACGAUCCUGAAGAGAGAUUCAGAGACAGACUGAAGCUGGAUCAGACUGGAUCUCUGACCAUCACAAACAUCAGAAUCAAACACUCUGGACUUUAUAAAGCAGAAAUCAUACACAACACUGGGACCACCUAUAGGAAAUUCACAGUUAUCGUCUAUGAGUCUCCAGCUGUUAUUGAUGCUGGUUAAAGGUGAAAUGAAGAGUGUAUCAGAGACGGAGGGAGAAUCUGUCACUCUUCAGACUGAUACUGAAACACACGGAAGAUGAGCAGAUAGUGUGGAGGUUUGGAGAUGAAGGAAAACUCAUAGCUAAACAUGAUCUAGAGGCCAAGACUCCACCAUUAUAUGAUACUGAUGAGAGACUCAGAGACAGACUGAAGCUGGAUAAUCAAACUGGAUCUCUGACCAUCACAAACAUCAGAAUCACAGACUCUGGACUUUAUACAGUGAAGAUCAGCAGCAGCAAACAGACUUUAUACAAGAGAUUCACUGUCACUGUCAGCGAUUCAGCUCUGUCUCCAGCUGCUGUAGCAGGGAUUGUUGUUGUUGUUCUGCUGCUGGUAUUUUCAGCUGUCACAGCUGCUGGUGUUUUUUACCAUCGUCGCAAAGUCUCUGAACUACAAAAUCAAACGAAGAAGAUAUCAAAACAACUAGAGCAACUGCCGAAGGAUCUCUGAACAGCUAGAGCAACUGACGAAGACCUGUGAAAAAGAACUGCCGAAGAUCUCUAAAGAAGAAUUAUUGGAGAUCUCUGGAACACUAAAGAGAAUGUCCGAGAUCUCUGAGAAAGAAAUGCCGAAGAUAUCUGAACAUCUAAAGCAACUGCGCACCGAAGUCACAAAUCAAGAGACAAUGAGAUCAGAUUUGGAGAAAGGUGGAGAGGAACGGUGCAUUACUGUUCAUGAUACAGCCAUAAGUCAAGCGACAGGUGACGUCAAGAUAUCCAUAGAGGAGCAGGGCAAGAGGAUUCCAAUCCGUAAAAACAGCAGUGAAGAUGCUGGAGUUCACACACAUGAUCCCACUGUAGUGACGCCGCUGUUAAAAAAAGAACAUGAUGGAGAGAAUAAGCCGGAGGACAUGACUCCAGGUUGAGAUAAGACACGCCCACCCGUGUCAAUCACUAUGACAUCAUCAACAUGAGCGCCAUAUUUCUGUCCAUCCCGUGAAUGUGAGAACCCAUUUCUGUUGAGCUGUUAAUCUGCAGAGUAAAAAGCUUCUUUGGUUGGUGGUUGAUGAAACUCUUUCAUACAUUAUUCAUUUCAAUAAUGCUACACUUCAAUCCUGUUACUCUGUUAACAAAAUACUGCCUUGAUCUUUGAUAUUGUGUGAUAGUAACAAUCUGAUUAUCACACAAUGUGUUAUUGCUUUGAAAAAUGCUAGAAGUGGGCAGUGAAAUGGGCUUCUUGGUUUCAAGAAUUUAGCGCAAUGGUCAAACAUGUCCAUCUAGUGAAUGCUUAAAGCACCAAAGACGAGCUCUGAAGCUUAGAAACUCCUACAGACACUAAACUCACUGAUGAACAAGUAAUUAUAGCUGCAAAAUACAUAUCCAGUGAUAACUACAUCCAUCAGGAGACACUCUAAGAUCUCACAUUAGGAAGUUUUUGGUCCAAUAAAAAUAUUUUUCUUUUCUUUGUGUGUGGCUUUGAAAAACACUACUAUCACUAUCACUACUUUAUAUCUGUAUAUGUAUUAUUACCUUUUCGGUUACUGUAUUUCUGUGCUGUUGUCUUUAUUAGUUAAUGAUAAUGCAAAGUCCUUAUUUCAAGGUUUCUAAUUGUUACAGGACAAAGCAGUCAUUUUCCAUUGCCUUUGCUGUAAUAUAAUAACACUCAUUGAAUGUGUGCUGAUCAGGUGAACAUCUGACCGAUCAAGCAUAUACAAAGACAUUAACUAAUGUCGUUAAAUAAACUGAUUAUUAUACCAUCA